AGCAGACCUUAUGAUGUUCAACUAUAAAUAUCUGUAACCUAUUUGUAGCUAUUUUAGGCCAUUUGCUCGAAGCAGAUCAGAAUUCUUCCAUUUCAUGUUUCCUGAUAAAAGCAAUACUUCAAAAUAUAUACUCCACAAAAUUCUCUACAGCUAAUAGAAGAUAUCAUGGGUUGGAGACAACAUUGAGGUUAAAACUAGUAAUUAAUCAUUUAAUAUUUGUAUGUAAAUACGUGUGUGCCUGUGUAUUUAUAUGCAU
rnacentral:misc_RNA from 1 species